rnacentral:rRNA from 1 species
AGAGUGAUUAUGGCUCAGGAUGAACGCUAGCGGCAGGCUUAACACAUGCAAGUCGGGCGGCAGCGGGGUGGGAGCUUGCUCCCACUGCCGGCGAGCGGCGCACGGGUGAGUAACACGUAUGCAACCUGCCCCUGUCAGGGGGACAACCCGCCGAAAGGCGGGCUAAACCCGCGUAUAUCGCCCCGGGGCAUCCUGGGGCGAGGAAAGGAGCGAUCCGGACAGGGAUGGGCAUGCGGCGCAUUAGCUGGUCGGCGGGGUAACGGCCCACCGAGGCGACGAUGCGUAGGGGUUCUGAGAGGAAGGCCCCCCACACUGGUACUGAGACACGGACCAGACUCCUACGGGAGGCAGCAGUGAGGAAUAUUGGUCAAUGGGCGAGAGCCUGAACCAGCCAAGCCGCGUGAGGGAAGAAGGUACAGCGUAUCGUAAACCUCUUUUGUCAGGGAACAAAGGCGGGGACUAGUCCCCGGAUGAGGGUACCUGAAGAAAAAGCAUCGGCUAACUCCGUGCCAGCAGCCGCGGUAAUACGGAGGAUGCGAGCGUUAUCCGGAUUUAUUGGGUUUAAAGGGUGCGCAGGCGGCCUGUUAAGUC